rnacentral:rRNA from 1 species
CCUACGGGAGGCAGCAGUGGGGAAUAUUGGACAAUGGGGGGAACCCUGAUCCAGCCAUGCCGCGUGUGUGAAGAAGGCCCUCGGGUUGUAAAGCACUUUCAGUGAGGAAGAACGCCUGGUGGUUAAUACCCAUCAGGAAAGACAUCACUCACAGAAGAAGCACCGGCUAACUCCGUGCCAGCAACCGCGGUAAUACGGAGGGUGCGAGCGUUAAUCGGAAUUACUGGGCGUAAAGCGCGCGUAGGUGGCUUGAUAAGCCGGUUGUGAAAGCCCCGGGCUCAACCUGGGAACGGCAUCCGGAACUGUCAAGCUAGAGUGCAGGAGAGGAAGGUAGAAUUCCCGGUGUAGCGGUGAAAUGCGUAGAGAUCGGGAGGAAUACCAGUGGCGAAGGCGGCCUUCUGGACUGACACUGACACUGAGGUGCGAAAGCGUGGGUAGCAAACAGGAUUAGAUACCCUGGUAGUC